GAUGAACGCUGGCGGUGUGCCUAAGGCAUGCAAGUCGAACGGGUCCCCUUCGGGGGACAAGUGGCAGACGGGUGAGUAACGCGUAGGAAUCUACCCUUUAGUGGGGAAUAGCCUUUCGAAAGGAAGGGUAAUACCGCAUACGUCCGCAAGGAGAAAGUCCCCCUCGGGGGACGCUAAGGGAGGAGCCUGCGUCCUAUCAGGUAGUUGGUGGGGUAAUAGCCUACCAAGCCUAUGACGGGUAGCCGGUGUGAGAGCACGACCGGUCACAAGGUCACUGAGACACGGGGCCUACAUCUACGGAUGGCAGCAACCAGGAAUAUUGCGCAAUGGGCGAAAGCCUGACGCAGCGACACCGCGUGUGGGAUGACGCUCUUCGGAGUGUAAACCACUGUGGCGAGGGAAGAAGUACUGACUGUACCUCGCUAGAAAGCACCAGCUAACUACGUGCCAGAAGCUUCGGUAAUACGUAGGGUGCAAGCGUUAUCCGGAUUUACUGGGCGUAAAGGGUUCGUCGGCGUCCUAUUAAGUUUUUUGUUCAAGCCUGGGGCUCAACUCCAGACAAGCAAGGAAAACUAAUAGGAUUGAGUUAGUUCGGGGUAACUGGAGUUCUUGGUGGAGGGGUGAAAUCCGUAGAUAUCAAGAGGAACGCCAACCGCGAAGGCAAGUUACUAGGACUCAACUGACGCUCAUGAACGAAAGCUUGGGUAGCAAAAGGGAUUAGAGACCCCUGUAGUCCAAGCCGUAAACGAUCCUUGCUAGUUGUUCCUAUCCGCCUUUUGGCGAUGUGGGGGUGACGUAAGCUAACGCGUUAAGCAAGGCGCCUGGGGAGUACGAUCGCAAGAUUAAAACUCAAAGGAAUUGACGGGGGAGCGCACAACCGGUGGAGCAUGUGGUUUAAUUCGAAACAAAGCGAAAAACAUUACCUAGACUUGAAAUAUAGCUGCAAUCCCUAGAAAUAGGGCCUCUUUUGAAGGUGCUAUACAGGUGAUGCAUGGCUGUCGUCAGCUCGUGUCGUGAGACGUCCACUUAAGUGUGGUAACGAGCGCAACCCUUGUUCUGUGUUAUACGUGUCACAGAAGACUGCCCCGCCUUUGGUGGGGAGGAAGGAGAGGACGACGUCAAGUCAGCAUGUCCCUUAUGUCUAGGGCUACACACAUCCUACAAUGGAGCCGACAACGGGUAGCGACGCCGCAAGGCUGAGCCAAUCCUUAUAAACGGCCCCUCAGUUCGGAUUGCGGGCUGCAAUUCGCCCGCAUGAAGCCGGAAUCGGUAGUAAUCGCAAAUCAGCAGGUUGCGGUGAAUACGUUCUCGCUCCUUGUACACACUGCCCGUCAAGCCAGCAAAGUCAGCAGCGCCCGAAGCGGGUGAUCUCAACUAUGUUUACAUAGGGGGACCCUUCUACGGUGAGGUUGGCGAUGAGGACU
rnacentral:rRNA from 1 species